AAACCGGUCCUUUUCAGGACCACAACUCGCAUCUGUACAAAAGAAU
rfam:Anopheles epiroticus strain epiroticus2 unplaced genomic scaffold supercont1.1576, whole genome shotgun sequence.